rnacentral:rRNA from 1 species
GACGGGGGGGGGCAAGCGUUGUUCGGAAUUACUGGGCGUAAAGGGCUCGUAGGUGGCCAACUAAGUCAGACGUGAAAUCCCUCAGCUUAACUGGGGAACUGCGUCUGAUACUGGAUGGCUUGAGUUUGGGAGAGGGAUGCGGAAUUCCAGGUGUAGCGGUGAAAUGCGUAGAUAUCUGGAGGAACACCGGUGGCGAAGGCGGCAUCCUGGACCAACACUGACACUGAGGAGCGAAAGCCAGGGGAGCAAACGGG